AGCUUUUAUCACCUGUUGAUACACUUCAUAGAAUUAUCUCUCCCCAAAACAUUUACUUGGACCCACAAGUAAAGGAAUAAGCUUGUAAGAAAAUGAUUAAAAUAGGUGUACCAGUAUUAUGCCUUAUUAUCUUGGUAUCUGUUAUUUAUGCUAAUAACGAAUGUGAACCAGGACACGACUGUCCAGACUACACUACGUGCUGUCCUCACUCGACCGACAAAUACAGAUGCUGUAAUGCAAAGAACGCCGUUUGCUGUGGCGACGAGAACUUCUGCUGUAAGACUGGGUCCGUCUGUGAUUACAUAAUAAAAACAUGUCGUCAGUCAAAGUCUGAGAACAUUCUUUUUUUCCACUGAAACUCUGUAAACCUGAUUCAUAGUUAAGCUUUUUUUUUCUUUUUCAACAACUGAUUAUAUGCAUGUAUUUUCAAUAAAAAUCAGGUUACAAACAAUAA